rnacentral:rRNA from 1 species
GACGAACGCUGGCGGCAUGCCUAAUACAUGCAAGUCGAGCGAACAGAUGAAGUGCUUGCACUUCUGACGUUAGCGGCGAACGGGUGAGUAACACGUAAGGAAUCUACCUAUAAGCGGGGGAUAACAUUCGGAAACGGGUGCUAAUACCGCAUAAUAUCUCCUUCCGCAUGGAAGAAGAUUGAAAGACGGCUCUGCUGUCACUUAUAGAUGACCUUGCGGUGCAUUAGUUAGUUGGUGGGGUAACGGCCUACCAAGACGAUGAUGCAUAGCCGACCGGGGAGGUGGAUCGGCCACAUUGGGACUGAGACACGGCCCAAACUCCUACGGGAGGCAGCAGUAGGGAAUCUUCCGCAAUGGGCGAAAGCCUGACGGAGCAAUGCCGCGUGAGUGAAGAAGGCCUUCGGGUCGUAAAACUCUGUUAUAAGAGAUGAACAAAUUGUAGAGUAACUGCUACAGUCUUGACGGUAUCUUAUCAGAAAGCCACGGCUAACUACGUGCCAGCCGCCGCCGUAA